UGGGCCUACGGGAGGCAGCAGUGAGGAAUAUUGGUCAAUGGGCGCGAGCCUGAACCAGCCAAGUCGCGUGAGGGAAUAAGGCCCUAUGGGUCGUAAACCUCUUUUGUCAGGGAGCAAAGGCGUCCACGUGUGGACGAGAAGAGAGUACCUGAAGAAAAAGCAUCGGCUAACUCCGUGCCAGCAGCCGCGGUAAUACGGAGGAUGCGAGCGUUAUCCGGAUUUAUUGGGUUUAAAGGGAGCGUAGGCGGAGUGUCACGUCAGCGGUAAAAUUUUGGGGCUCAACCCCGUGGUGCCGUUGAAACUGG
rnacentral:rRNA from 1 species